AAGCUACAGAACAGUGGGCCUUGGAAGCUGAAGGCACAAAUCAGCAAAGUAAAGCAGGCAAGAGGGUGCAAGAAACGGUUCCAUGUUAUUGUGCAUGGGCCUCAAAGCAGAGGCCCAUUAGUUAUUUUACACAUGAGUAAAUGGAGGUUAUGGGAAGCAAAACGGAGGUGUAAACAGAAUCCAAUGGGCUUGUUACUCGGGCCCACACGUGAGAAGGAUGGUUAAAGGCUUUAUUCUCUCACUAACCUAACGAGAAUCACCAACGAUCCCUGGUCAGAACGGAACGCCGUCGUGAUUCAUGAUGAAUUCCACUCAAAUUCAUGAUGAAUUCCACUCAAAUAGAACCAACGAUCCCUGGUGCAGGUGGAAAGUCAGUGUGGGAAUUAUGUUUCUUUGAGAGUAUAUUUAUAAUAACAUGGUGGGAUUUACAUCAAUAUUUCUCAAUAACGCGGGUAGGGAAGUUGCAGCGCCGUCACUUGUAAUAGGUGUUCGUUCAAUGCUGCUACUUGUCAUUCUCAAGUUACAAGAACUAGUGCUCAUAGUCCUUUUGAGUCCAGUUUCUCCUUUUUGAAUUAAAUGGUUCCACAAUAUCCAUAGUUCUUUCCUAUCUGGUGUUGUGCUCGGAAAUUUCUAAAGACCUUCUAAGUCUUUUGGGAGGGAUAGCAUCCAAUGAAGGUUCUUCAACAACCUUUUGCUUUCUUGAUAUUAUUUCACCAGCAUAUUCCACUUUAGGCAUAUUAUUCGUCCCUAAUUGUUGGUUAACAUCUAAGGUGCUGACAUCAGAAUCAAUGGAACGAAUCCUAGGAUCUCUACUCUUGCUGAAGACCGAUUUAUGGAAGUAGAAGCAAGAUGCAGUUGAUCCUAGGGGGUGACUAGGGCUGCAUUUGGUAAUUGUUUUUUGCAGGCUAAAGAAUUUACAAGGGGUUGGGAUUUGCUAUUCCAUGGAAUGCUAUGGAAUGAAUUUGGAUUAUGCAUUAAUAAAAAUUGUGAUUUUGUAAUAAUUUGUGAAUUGUAUUGUAAUUUGAAAAUUGAUCUGGACUUAAAGUGUGAAUUGGUUUGGUUAUUAUAAUUUGAUUGAGUAUGGUAAUGAAAAUUGGAUACGGUAA